GACGAACGCUGGCGGCGUGGAUUAGGCAUGCAAGUCGGACGGUAGGGCUUUAUCGUAAGAUAGAGUUUGAGAGUGGCGAACGGGUGAGUAACACGUAGGAAUCUACCCUUAAGACGGGGACAACCCAGGGAAACUUGGGCUAAUACCGGAUGAGAGUGCGAGAGAUUGCAUUUAAAAGGAUGGCGAAAGUUGUCGCUUAGGGAUGAGCCUGCGGUCUAUUAGUUAGUUGGUGAGGUAAGAGCUCACCAAGGCGAUGAUAGAUAGGCGGCCUUAACGGGUGGUCGCCCACACGUGGGAUUGAGAUACGGCCCAGACUCCUACGGGAGCAGCAGUCGAGAAUAGUCUACAAUGGCCGGAAGGCUGAUAGUGCGACGCCGCGUGAACGAGGGACCCCGUUCGGGGUGUAAAGUUCUUUUCUAUACGAGCAGUGCUAUAUAUAUGGAUAGUAUAUAUAGAGGGAUAGUAGUAUAGGAAUAAGCAACGGCUAACUCCGUGCCAGCAGCCGUACG
rnacentral:rRNA from 1 species